GCUGUUUUACGUACGGGUGAGACCUGACCAGAAGCCAAGGUCAAGGUGAAAGUUGCCGUCUAGCCAAUG
rnacentral:sRNA from 1 species